rnacentral:rRNA from 1 species
AGGCUUUGAUCCUGGCUCAGAACGAACGCUGGCGGCAUGCCUAACACAUGCAAGUCGAACGAGACCUUCGAGUCUAGUGGCGCACGGGUGCGUAACGCGUGGGAACCUGCCCUUAGGUUCGGAAUAACUCAGAGAAAUUUGAGCUAAUACCGGAUAAUGUCUUCGGACCAAAGAUUUAUCGCCUUUGGAUGGGCCCGCGUUGGAUUAGCUAGUUGGUGGGGUAAUGGCCUACCAAGGCGACGAUCCAUAGCUGGUCUGAGAGGAUGAUCAGCCACACUGGGACUGAGACACGGCCCAGACUCCUACGGGAGGCAGCAGUGGGGAAUCUUGCGCAAUGGGCGAAAGCCUGACGCAGCAACGCCGCGUGCGGGAUGACGGCCUUCGUGGUUGUAAACCGCUUUCAGCAGGGACGAAAAUGACGGUACCUGCAGAAGAGCCCCGGUGA